rnacentral:rRNA from 1 species
UACGUAGGGUCCGAGCGUUGUUCGGAAUUACUGGGCGUAAAGGGCGCGUAGGCGGCCUCUUUAGUCAGACGUGAAAUCCCCCGGCUUAACCUGGGAACUGCGUCUGAUACUGGGAGGCUAGAGUUCGGGAGAGGGAUGUAGAAUUCCAGGUGUAGCGGUGAAAUGCGUAGAUAUCUGGAGGAAUACCGGUGGCGAAGGCGGCAUCCUGGACCGAAACUGACGCUGAGGCGCGAAAGCUAGGGGAGCAAACGGG